ensembl:misc_RNA Metazoa_SRP Metazoan signal recognition particle RNA
GCCAGGCAUGAUGGCUCUUGCCUGAAAUCCCAGUACUCUGGGAGGCUGAGGUGGGAGGAUUGCUUGAGCCCAGGAGUUCAAGACCAGCCUGGGCAACAUAUCAAGACCCCAUCUCUU